GCCUCCCAAGUUCAAGGGCCUCCCAAGUUUGCGUUCAUGAUGAGCUGAAAAGGUCAUAUUGUUUUGUAACUUGUCAGGUUUUCUGUCAAUCACUCUAAUUGCACGUUUCAUGGCUGCUGAUUGGUCCGUUGUAACUUAACGUGAAAUAAAAUGUUAGACGUAACAUAUUUUUUAUUCCGCGUAAUGUAAUUAAGUGCGCGUUGUCAACUUGACAUUCCUGCACGUUAGACUGAGUGUGACAGAUAAACGGGAAAUAAUCCACCAACAAAUGAAAGAGUAAUUUCUGAAAUUUCAUAAUAAGCACUAGUGAGGUGCAGGUCUCUCUCUCUUUCGUGCGCGCGCUCGCUCGUUCGCUCUCUCUGUGCUCGUUCAGCUGUCUGAGUCUCUAGCAUGCAGAAGUCUCUCCAAACGUGCGCAAGAAACUGUGCCGCUAAAUUAAGAAAGGAGUUCUCGCACAUAAUGCUGUUAGUUGUUAUAAAGUUUAAGUUUACUCGCGUUUAUAUCAGUGACGCGUGCGCAGCUGGAGCGAUGUAGUUUGACGCGACAUUAGCUCACAUUACACACAUCUGUUGAUUUCAGAAAGACGAGAAAGAGACGCACGCAACGGUAAAGGUGCAAGUCUUAGAAAGUAAAGAGCGACAAGACCAUCUCAAAUGAUCAUCCCCUGAAGGCACCAUUCAUAUUUAUAAUCUUAUUAUCUAAAGAUCUUAUAUAGGUAUGUUCCCUGUCUGUCUUGUGCAUAUUCAUACUUGCUCGUUUUACAUGCUUAUUUAUGCAUAAAUACUAAAUACAAUGCAUACUAUAUCUUCAAUAGCCUACAAAAUAAAUAAAUGAUUAAAAAACAAGAUUCUGUCUAUAAAGACUUAUCUUUUGUUAUCAUUAAUGCAUUUAACAAGAUUCUGUCUAUAAAGACUUAUCUUUUGUUAUCAUUAAUGCAUUUAACAAGAUUCUGUCUAUAAAGACUUAUCUUUUGUUAUCAUUAAUGCAUUUUCACUUUAAAACUAACUUUAACUUAUUAUAUUUUUAAAACUGUGGUGAGCAUUUAGUUAGUGAGUGCAAUUUUCUGCAAAUUUGUAUAUUCCAAAAACUAUAUAAAUAUAAAGCUUAUAAACAUAUAUACUUUCACACAUUUUGGUUUUAUUAUCACCACAAGUUGCUGUGUGUGGUUGUUAAAUAAAGUGUCUUGUGUUUAUGCUCAAGUGGGCUCAGUGAUAUGUUAACAAUAUUAUGGUGUUUUCUGGCUCAAAGAGGGAAAACUCACUGUUGUAUGUCUCGAAAGAAACUAAUGCAUUUUGAUAUGUAGAUUACCUAGAUAUUACACUUACAAAAAAUAGACCAUAAAUCAAGGGGAAGGGGGGCCUACAAAACCUCUUAGCCCCGGGGCCUCACAUUAGGUUAAGGCGGCCCUGUCGUUACCUAUCCUAAAUCAGGUAAGUUUCUACAUCUAAACAUGUUUAUAUAAAAUACGCUAUAUAAAUAAAACACAUUUUUAACAUCUAUGGUGAGCCUGCCCCAGCCAACAUUUCAAUAUGGGUUUGCCCCACCUGGAGGUUUCUUCGUUAAUAAACCAUUGCCUCUUUGUUUCUAGAUUUAAAAGACAAAGCUGGCAAUUAUAUUAUGGCUAUACUUUUCUAUUCUUUUAAUAAUUUAUUUUAUUUUAUUUAUAAAUCACUCUGGGUUAUCUGAUGUAUCUAUUUGGCUUGUGUUUUGUUUUCGUGCACUUGAGGCAUUUUGCACAUUUGUUCUGCACUUUGUUACUUCUGACCUUAUUUUAUUAAAAAAAUGUAUCUAUUAUAAACGUACAUUCUGAUCUAAUUUAAGUCUGUACAUUUUGGAUAGCUUUUCGUUGUAUCGAUGUUGCGCUAUUGCGUGCUGGCCAUGCUUGCGCAUGUAAUUUAGCCGAACGGGCUAGGUGCUCUGCGUCUCAUAUUUAGGAGUUCAUCAAACUAAACAUUAAAAAACGGAUGUUUUUCGACGGGUAUAAGUUUUUAAAAUGUAUUUAUCAUACAUUUUGGUUAUCUUGUCAAAAGUUAAACUACAUAACAGGUAAGUCGUUUUUUAAAAUUUCGGUGAUGAAACGGAAACUAUCUGCACCGAACCUAUAUUUCUGCCUGACACGAAUGUCUUUCUUGUGAUUUAAUAUUGGUUGGUGUUCACUUUUAAAUGAUAGCAAAUAGAUUCCUGAAAUAAAUAAUAUCAUCCGGUCUUUCUGUAUCUAAAGUGAAUACAGAGAUUAUCAAAGUCAGAGCAAGCAAGCAGGUAUUUCUGUGCUAAAUAAUAACGCAUAGUGUCUAUAAAAUCAUUAAUUUCAGUGUUUUUCAUGUUAUAAAUUAACGUUUAAUAAAUUGUUUUAGGUUUAGUUAUCAAAAUGUAUUUUUGUGUGAUGUUCUGUAGAUCGUGGCUUUAAAAUGUUAUGAGGAAUAAAUAAACAAAUGUUGCCUUAUAUAUUUUACCUUAAAAAAAAUAAAUAUAUAAAUGUCACAGGUGAUGUUUUGAACCAACGACGGGCGGAACCCGUCUUCCACAUCCUUGGUUGAACCGACGACGGGCGGAACCCGUCUUCCACAUUUCAUUUCCGGGGUUUCCCCAAAGUCAAAAUUAAGCCUGAUUGCGCAGGUGGGGAUAAUUUACACAGCGGUUGCUAAUAGGCUGACAAGGAGAAGAGUCAGUGUAUAAAAACACCUUUGAAGACUUCAAACGGGGUGCUGGUGGUAUACUUUGUGUACGCUGUGUUGCUGCUUUGCAGACGGACCACGCUGGUCGGAUCGCUCUCCUGGGGAAGAGAGGAAGAGACAAUCAGCUGACGAAGGAAUAUUGUGGAGUCUCAGUGAGAAAGAGUGGACACAGAGCCAUCAAGAGCGCAGUGAACAGAGGUUAUUGGCAACAAAGCGUGAGUAACCGCUGUGGUACUUAUCUGUACAUAACUUGUAUGAAGAGUUGUCCUGGUGUGUGCUUUUUGUGUUUCUUGAGGUCCCUGGCCCCACUGGAGAGGAAAGCGUGGGUGAGCCGCGGGUUGACCGGAAGCACGGACGAAGCACCGUUCACCAGUAAGCCAGUGGCCCUGUGGGAAAAAAGGAAGUACAGGUGAGCCAGGGGAGUGAUAACCAACACGCCGGGCCUGUGAAUAUCACACAUCUCUCCCUCAUUUGUGAUCCAGUUGUUGCCCAACCAUCCUCUCGAGGUCGUCGUAGUCAGCGUUCAAACUGCCGAGCCUCCGACGAGUCACGAGAUGACGACAUCCGUUGUGGCCUGAGUCCUACAGAGAGAGAGAAAACCAAGCCCGGUGCCCGGGGUGUGACAACGAGAGCUUCGUUUGUACACAGAACAGACAGUGGUAAAACACAGUGAGUAGUAUCAAGUGUGUACCGUGCGGAUUGUGGGUCGUAACGGUGUGUGUACUGACCUCUUCAACAGAAGCUUGUGGUGAACGGAGCCCCGACGAAAGUUCGCCCCAGCUCGUGACCCCGGUCGUGGAAGAAGGAGGGGGAGUUUGGGAAGCGUUCGGCUCCGGUCAUCGGACCCACUAGUCCCUACGACGCCCGGACAGCCAAACUGGAGGGGCGAAGGAAUACGGUACACUGACACUGUAGCGAAAUCCACUGUAUAUAGCAACUACCUACCUGAACCAGUGAAGCUCUGUGUGGGAACGAGGAUCCCCCGGCACUGUGAGUAACGCAACCUGUGAAAUAAACCUGUUCUGUGCUUAUAGCAACUACCUACCUGAAACCAGUGAAGCUUUGUGUGGGAACGAGGAUCCCCCGGCACUGUGAGUAACGCAACCUGUGAAAUAAAUCUGUUCUGUGCUUAUAGCAACUACCUACCUGUACCAGUGAAGCUUUGUGUGGGAACGAGGAUCCCCCGGCACUGUGAGUAACGCAACCUGUGAAAUAAACCUGUUCUGUGCUUAUAGCAACUACCUACCUGAAACCAGUGAAGCUUUGUGUGGGAACGAGGAUCCCCCGGCACUGUGAGUAACGCAACCUGUGAAAUAAAUCUGUUCUGUGCUUAUAGUAACUACCUACCUGCACCAGUGAAGCUUUGUGUGGGAACGAGGAUCCCCCGGCACUGUGAGUAACGCAACCUGUGAAGUAACCCUGUUCUGUGCUUAUAGCAACUACCUACCUGCACCAGUGAAGCUUUGUGUGGGAACGAGGAUCCCCCGGCACUGUGAGUAAUGCAACCUGUGAAAUAAACCUGUGCUGUGCUUAUAGCAACUACCUACCUGAACCAGCGAAGCUCUGUGUGGGAACGAGGAUCCCCCGGCAUUGUGAGUAACGCCACCUGUGAACUAAACCUGUACUGUGCUUAUAGCAACUAUCUACCUGAACCAGUGAAGCUCUGUGUGGGAACGAGGAUCCCCCGGCACUGUGAGUAACGCAACCUGUGGGAUAAACCUGUGCUGUGCUUAUGGCAACUACCUACCUGCAUCAGUGAAGCUCUGUGUGGGAACGAGGAUCCCCCAGUACUGUGAGUAGCAAAGGAGUACUUACCCUGGUCUGACUGUGUUUGAUUCUGCCUCCAGGAGAAACGGAGCGCGCCACGGAUUGCUGGGCCAGAGCCCCGGUCCCCAGUCUUUUCCCCAAGUGGCCCUGGAGGCAAAGAAGAGCCAUAUUAGUUUUAAAUUUCCCUUUUUCCCUUCCCCCUUUUCCCUUUUUAAAUAUUUAAUAAAGUUUGUUUUAAUUAUA